CAGACCUCUAAUCGGAAAAGACUACCCGCUGAGUUUAAGCAUAUCACUAAGCGGAGGAGAAGAAACUAACCAGGAUUCCC
rnacentral:rRNA from 1 species